UACGUAGGGUGCAAGCGUUAUCCGGAAUUAUUGGGCGUAAAGAGCUCGUAGGUGGUUUGUCGCGUCUGCUGUGAAAACCCGAGGCUCAACCUCGGGCCUGCAGUGGGUACGGGCAAACUAGAGUGCGGUAGGGGAGAUUGGAAUUCCUGGUGUAGCGGUGGAAUGCGCAGAUAUCAGGAGGAACACCGAUGGCGAAGGCAGAUCUCUGGGCCGUAACUGACGCUGAGAUGCGAAAGCGUGGGGAGCAAACAGG
rnacentral:rRNA from 1 species